AACGAACGCUGGCGGCAGGCUUAACACAUGCAAGUCGAGCGCCCCGCAAGGGGAGUGGCAGACGGGUGAGUAACGCGUGGGAAUCUACCCAUCUCUAGGGGAUAACACAGAGAAAUUUGUGCUAAUACCCUAUACGUCCUCCGGGAGAAAGAUUUAUCGGGGAUGGAUGAGCCCGCGUUGGAUUAGCUAGUUGGUGGGGUAAUGGCCCACCAAGGCGACGAUCCAUAGCUGGUCUGAGAGGAUGACCAGCCACACUGGGACUGAGACACGGCCCAGACUCCGACGGGAGGCAGCAGUGGGGAAUAUUGGACAAUGGGCGCAAGCCUGAUCCAGCCAUGCCGCGUGAGUGAUGACGGCCUUAGGGUUGUAAAGCUCUUUCACCCACGACGAUAAUGACGGUAGUGGGAGAAGAAGCCCCGGCUAACUUCGUGCCAGCCGCCGCCGUAACAC
rnacentral:rRNA from 1 species